rnacentral:rRNA from 1 species
GACGAACGCUGGCGGCGUGCUUAACACAUGCAAGUCGAACGGUGAUGGGUGGAGCUUGCUCUGCUUUGAUCAGUGGCGAACGGGUGAGUAACACGUGAGUAACCUGCCCCAGACUCUGGAAUAACCCCGGGAAACCGGUGCUAAUACCGGAUAUGACACAGAAUCGCCUGGUUUCUGUGUGGAAAGUUUUUCGGUUUGGGAUGGACUCGCGGCCUAUCAGCUUGUUGGUGAGGUAAUGGCUCACCAAGGCGACGACGGGUAGCCGGCCUGAGAGGGCGACCGGCCACACUGGGACUGAGACACGGCCCAGACUCCUACGGGAGGCAGCAGUGGGGAAUAUUGCACAAUGGGCGCAAGCCUGAUGCAGCGACGCCGCGUGAGGGAUGAAGGCCUUCGGGUUGUAAACCUCUUUCAGCCCUGAAGAAGCGAAAGUGACGGUAGGAGCAGAAGAAGCACCGGCUAACUACGUGCCAGCAGCCGCCGCGGUAA